rnacentral:rRNA from 1 species
UACGAAGGGGGCUAGCGUUGUUCGGAAUCACUGGGCGUAAAGGGUGCGUAGGCGGGUUUUUAAGUCAGAGGUGAAAUCCUGGAGCUCAACUCCAGAACUGCCUUUGAUACUGAAGAUCUUGAGUUCGGGAGAGGUGAGUGGAACUGCGAGUGUAGAGGUGAAAUUCGUAGAUAUUCGCAAGAACACCAGUGGCGAAGGCGGCUCACUGGCCCGGUACUGACGCUGAGGUGCGAAAGCGUGGGGAGCAAACAGG